rnacentral:rRNA from 1 species
AUUGAACGCUGGCGGCAUGCCUUACACAUGCAAGUCGAACGGUAACAGGUCUUCGGAUGCUGACGAGUGGCGAACGGGGGAGUAAUACAUCGGAACGUGCCUAGUAGUGGGGGAUAACUACUCGAAAGAGUGGCUAAUACCGCAUGAGAUCUACGGAUGAAAGCAGGGGAUCGCAAGACCUUGUGCUACUAGAGCGGCCGAUGGCAGAUUAGGUAGUUGGUGGGAUAAAAGCUUACCAAGCCGACGAUCUGUAGCUGGUCUGAGAGGACGAUCAGCCACACUGGGACUGAGACACGGCCCAGACUCCUACGGGAGGAAGCAGUGGGGAAUUUGGGACAAUGGGCGAAAGCCUGAGCCAGCAAUGCCGCGUGCAGGAUGAAGGCCUUCGGAUUGUAAACUGCUUUUGUACGGAACGAAAAGCCCCGGGUUAAUACCCUGGGGUCAUGACGGUACCGUAAGAAUAAGCACCGGCUAACUACGUGCCAGCCGCCGCGGUAA